UACGAAGGGGGCUAGCGUUGCUCGGAAGUUACUGGGCGUAAAGGGCGCGUAGGCGGGUCGUUUAGUUAGAGGUGAAAGCCCAGGGCUCGAACCCUGGAAUUGCCUUUAAUACUGGCGGCCUUGAGUAUGGCAGAGGUGUGUGGAACUCCGAGUGUAGAGGUGAAAUUCGUAGAUAUUCGGAAGAACACCAGUGGCGAAGGCGACACACUGGGCCAUUACUGACGCUGAGGCGCGAAAGCGUGGGGAGCAAACAGGAUUAGAUACCCUGGAC
rnacentral:rRNA from 1 species